UUAAGCGACUAAGCGUACACGGUGGAUGCCCUGGCAGUCAGAGGCGAUGAAGGACGUGCUAAUCUGCGAUAAGCGUCGGUAAGGUGAUAUGAACCGUUAUAACCGGCGAUUUCCGAAUGGGGAAACCCAGUGUGUUUCGACACACUAUCAUUAACUGAAUCCAUAGGUUAAUGAGGCGAACCGGGGGAACUGAAACAUCUAAGUACCCCGAGGAAAAGAAAUCAACCGAGAUUCCCCCAGUAGCGGCGAGCGAACGGGGAGGAGCCCAGAGCCUGAAUCAGUGUGUGUGUUAGUGGAAGCGUCUGGAAAGGCGCGCGAUACAGGGUGACAGCCCCGUACACAAAAAUGCACAUGCUGUGAGCUCGAUGAGUAGGGCGGGACACGUGGUAUCCUGUCUGAAUAUGGGGGGACCAUCCUCCAAGGCUAAAUACUCCUGACUGACCGAUAGUGAACCAGUACCGUGAGGGAAAGGCGAAAAGAACCCCGGCGAGGGGAGUGAAAAAGAACCUGAAACCGUGUACGUACAAGCAGUGGGAGCCUCUUUAUGGGGUGACUGCGUACCUUUUGUAUAAUGGGUCAGCGACUUAUAUUCUGUAGCAAGGUUAACCGAAUAGGGGAGCCGAAGGGAAACCGAGUCUUAACUGGGCGUUAAGUUGCAGGGUAUAGACCCGAAACCCGGUGAUCUAGCCAUGGGCAGGUUGAAGGUUGGGUAACACUAACUGGAGGACCGAACCGACUAAUGUUGAAAAAUUAGCGGAUGACUUGUGGCUGGGGGUGAAAGGCCAAUCAAACCGGGAGAUAGCUGGUUCUCCCCGAAAGCUAUUUAGGUAGCGCCUCGUGAAUUCAUCUCCGGGGGUAGAGCACUGUUUCGGCAAGGGGGUCAUCCCGACUUACCAACCCGAUGCAAACUGCGAAUACCGGAGAAUGUUAUCACGGGAGACACACGGCGGGUGCUAACGUCCGUCGUGAAGAGGGAAACAACCCAGACCGCCAGCUAAGGUCCCAAAGUCAUGGUUAAGUGGGAAACGAUGUGGGAAGGCCCAGACAGCCAGGAUGUUGGCUUAGAAGCAGCCAUCAUUUAAAGAAAGCGUAAUAGCUCACUGGUCGAGUCGGCCUGCGCGGAAGAUGUAACGGGGCUAAACCAUGCACCGAAGCUGCGGCAGCGACGCUUAUGCGUUGUUGGGUAGGGGAGCGUUCUGUAAGCCUGCGAAGGUGUGCUGUGAGGCAUGCUGGAGGUAUCAGAAGUGCGAAUGCUGACAUAAGUAACGAUAAAGCGGGUGAAAAGCCCGCUCGCCGGAAGACCAAGGGUUCCUGUCCAACGUUAAUCGGGGCAGGGUGAGUCGACCCCUAAGGCGAGGCCGAAAGGCGUAGUCGAUGGGAAACAGGUUAAUAUUCCUGUACUUGGUGUUACUGCGAAGGGGGGACGGAGAAGGCUAUGUUGGCCGGGCGACGGUUGUCCCGGUUUAAGCGUGUAGGCUGGUUUUCCAGGCAAAUCCGGAAAAUCAAGGCUGAGGCGUGAUGACGAGGCACUACGGUGCUGAAGCAACAAAUGCCCUGCUUCCAGGAAAAGCCUCUAAGCAUCAGGUAACAUCAAAUCGUACCCCAAACCGACACAGGUGGUCAGGUAGAGAAUACCAAGGCGCUUGAGAGAACUCGGGUGAAGGAACUAGGCAAAAUGGUGCCGUAACUUCGGGAGAAGGCACGCUGAUAUGUAGGUGAAGCGACUUGCUCGUGGAGCUGAAAUCAGUCGAAGAUACCAGCUGGCUGCAACUGUUUAUUAAAAACACAGCACUGUGCAAACACGAAAGUGGACGUAUACGGUGUGACGCCUGCCCGGUGCCGGAAGGUUAAUUGAUGGGGUUAGCGGUAACGCGAAGCUCUUGAUCGAAGCCCCGGUAAACGGCGGCCGUAACUAUAACGGUCCUAAGGUAGCGAAAUUCCUUGUCGGGUAAGUUCCGACCUGCACGAAUGGCGUAAUGAUGGCCAGGCUGUCUCCACCCGAGACUCAGUGAAAUUGAACUCGCUGUGAAGAUGCAGUGUACCCGCGGCAAGACGGAAAGACCCCGUGAACCUUUACUAUAGCUUGACACUGAACAUUGAGCCUUGAUGUGUAGGAUAGGUGGGAGGCUUUGAAGUGUGGACGCCAGUCUGCAUGGAGCCGGCCUUGAAAUACCACCCUUUAAUGUUUGAUGUUCUAACGUUGGCCCCUGAUCGGGGUUGCGGACAGUGUCUGGUGGGUAGUUUGACUGGGGCGGUCUCCUCCUAAAGAGUAACGGAGGAGCACGAAGGUUGGCUAAUCCUGGUCGGACAUCAGGAGGUUAGUGCAAUGGCAUAAGCCAGCUUGACUGCGAGCGUGACGGCGCGAGCAGGUGCGAAAGCAGGUCAUAGUGAUCCGGUGGUUCUGAAUGGAAGGGCCAUCGCUCAACGGAUAAAAGGUACUCCGGGGAUAACAGGCUGAUACCGCCCAAGAGUUCAUAUCGACGGCGGUGUUUGGCACCUCGAUGUCGGCUCAUCACAUCCUGGGGCUGAAGUAGGUCCCAAGGGUAUGGCUGUUCGCCAUUUAAAGUGGUACGCGAGCUGGGUUUAGAACGUCGUGAGACAGUUCGGUCCCUAUCUGCCGUGGGCGCUGGAGAACUGAGGGGGGCUGCUCCUAGUACGAGAGGACCGGAGUGGACGCAUCACUGGUGUUCGGGUUGUCAUGCCAAUGGCACUGCCCGGUAGCUAAAUGCGGAAGAGAUAAGUGCUGAAAGCAUCUAAGCACGAAACUUGCCCCGAGAUGAGUUCUCCCUGAGACUUUAAGUCUCCUGAAGGAACGUUGAAGACGACGACGUUGAUAGGCCGGGUGUGUAAGCGCAGCGAUGCGUUGAGCUAACCGGUACUAAUGAACCGUGAGGCUUAACCU
rnacentral:rRNA from 1 species